rnacentral:rRNA from 1 species
GAGUGAACGCUGGCGGCAGGCCUAACACAUGCAAGUCGAGCGGCAGCGGGUCCCCGCGAGGGGAUGCCGGCGAGCGGCGGACGGGUGAGGAACACAUCGGAAUCUGCCUGGUCGUGGGGGAUAACGUAGGGAAACUUACGCUAAUACCGCAUGCGACCCUGAGUCGGAACGGACUUGGGGUGAAAGUGAGGGACCUUCGGGCCUCACGCGACCAGAUGAGCCGAUGUCGGAUUAGCUAGUUGGCGGGGUAACGGCCCGCCAAGGCGACGAUCCGUAGCUGGUCUGAGAGGAUGAUCAGCCACACUGGGACUGAGACACGGCCC